AGGCCAAGGCUUCUUGAAAGGCUGGUCAUGCCCCAGUGAUCAAUGAAGAACUCAGGGAUAUCCCAAAACUCAGGACUAUAAGGCACAAUGGGGGAGCAGGUACCAGGUGGCCAGCAUCCUAAAUGACUCUCAGCAGCUGCAGAGAAUGUAAAUAACAAGAGCUGCCUAUAAAUCUACCUCAGAAGACAAAGGGAAAAGCAAAACUCUGCCCAGGAAGACCUUACUUUACAAACCAGGUGACCAAAUUUCUAAAACAUCAUUCCCGUAAUCCCUGAUCAACAGAAAGGAAGCUCUGGAAGCAUGAAUGCUCAACCAUAUUUACCAGCCUUCCUGUGGUCAUUUGUCUGAGCUCCAGCUAGUGAAGUAUGAGUAGAACGGACAUGCACCACUUCCAGACCUGGCACCGGCAAACCCCCCAUGGCAACCCUCCAACCCUUUCCUCAACAACUGGACCACGCUGGAAAGGACUGAGGAUCUAGAGGAGGACAGGGCUGUAAUAUGGAAGGAGUUUGGUUUCUGAAGGACCAUGUAGCAGGCCACCUGCAGGGCGGGAACAUCUUUAAUAGGUUUGGAAUAGCAAGAAAUAAACUGGUCUUGUAUUAA
rnacentral:lncRNA from 10 species